CAGCCGGCGGCGGCGCGGCGCGUGACGCUGGCGACGCUGCGCGGGAAGCACCGUCGCGGGGAGCCCAUCAGCAUGGUGACCGCGUACGACUACUCGUCGGCGGUCCACGUGGACUCCGCGGGCGUGGACCUCAUCCUCGUGGGCGACUCUGCCGCGAUGGUCGCGCACGGCCACGACAACACCCUCCCCAUCUCCCUCGACCUCAUGCUCCAACACUGCCGCGCCGUCGUCCGCGGCGCGCCGAGGCCGCUCGUCGUCGGCGACCUCCCGUUCGGGUCCUACGAGUCCUCACCCGCACAGGCCGUGGAAUCGGCGGUGAGGCUGAUGAAAGAAGGCGGAGUGGACGCGGUGAAGAUGGAAGGAGGCACGGCGUCGAGGGUGAGCGCGGCGAAGGCGAUCGUGGACGCCGGCAUAGCCGUGAUGGGGCACGUCGGCCUCACUCCGCAGGCCAUCAGCGUGCUCGGCGGCUUCCGGGCGCAGGGGAAGACGGUCGACGGCGCUCUCAAGGUCGUGGAGGCGGCGCUCGCGCUGCAGGACGCUGGCUGCUUCGCGGUCGUCCUUGAGUGCGUGCCCGCUCCGGUGGCAGCCGCCGCCACGGCGGCGCUGCAGAUCCCAACCAUCGGCAUCGGAGCUGGGCCCUUGUGCAGUGGCCAGGUGACGUUAGCGGCUACUACUAUCACACAUUCACACAUCACACAUGCAUGACUGUUCUGUGUUCAUCAUGUCAGCUGGUUCAUUGCAUGCAGGUUCUAGUGUACCAUGACUUGCUAGGGAUGUUCCAGAGCCCAGACCACUCGAAGGUGACGCCCAAGUUCUGCAAGCAGUUUGGGGACGUCGGCGCCGUCAUCGGCAAGGCGCUCGCGGAGUACAGGGAGCAGGUGGAGGCUCGGGCUUUCCCGGACGCUGAGCACACGCCCUACAAGAUAUCAUCCGCGGACGUCGAUGUCUUCGCGGACGCGCUGCGAAACAUCGGCUUCGAUGGAGCUGCAGCAGCUGCCGCCGCCGCUGCCGGAAAAAAGGAGAAAAUAGUAGGCAAUGGAAAGCCACAGGAUGGGGAUAACAUCAAUAAUGGCAUCUUGAGCGGUAGCGCAGGUGCUGCAGUUUAAUGGCGGGGCAUGUGUGCUCCCGUAGUUCUUAAAUAAAUUAAUUAAUUCUUAUUCCUAAAGCGCAGGGCACAGUCCUGUGUGCGGACAGGGUAUGGAACUUUUUUUUGUUAUUUACGUGAGAGGUCUCCUUAAGCAUAAAGUUUCGGGGCUGUCUAGCCGUCCGAGGAUCCAAGGUUUUUGAAUUUAUGAAAAUAGGAUUAAGAAUUACUCCUAUAUGGCACUAAAUUUGUAUCGUUUGAUACAUCAUAAAAUAUAUUUGAUUAUAAUAGUUGUUGGUGAAAUCGGUGCCACACAUCAAAGAAGAAAUUCUGGUGGAGAUAAACUCUAUCAUUGUCUAUAAAAACCUUAUCCACCAAUAAAUCUAUAUUUCUUAUUUCCAAGUCCAACCUGCUGCCUUAUAAAGUUUUUUUUCCUGAAAGACGGCACGAACUUUGCUGUAUUUUUAUUGGAUGAGGAAAAGAGAAAACAAACAUAUAAUUACAUAGAAAUUGCAAAGGGAAGUAAGCUCUCGGCUACUUAUGGCACGCAGUCCAUCAACUAUGAAAGCUGCUCAACUGAACUAGCAAAAACAGCGACAGGGACCAAAUUAGAACAUGCCAACGAAUUUACUCAUUAACGACGAUAGGUCUUAGUGCCAUUUGGUAUUGUUGAAUAUCAUUCUACAAGCGCUACUUGGAUCGGUAGUAGAUAUCUUUGUUGGAACAUUUUUCUAUUACAUUCCUUCUAAACAUUACAACAGAAAUAGAUCAUCACACCAUCUAUUCUUUUAUGUUGCCUUUUGUCAAAUUUACUCGGCAUUUGCUGCCUUGUAAAGUUGUAAACAACCUACCGCCUCCGCCCUAUAAUACAGUGCAUUAUAAAAAAAUUGAAGACAAUUUAAGAGAACACUCAAAUGAUAUAUGUAUUCAUAGAUUAUUCUAAUUAUACAAUUUCUUUUCAAAUCAUAGCUUCCUUUUUAACAAAUCUUGCCAAAUCGAAUCAUACUCGUUAUGCAAGAUGCAUUAUAUUUCAAUCAGUGGCGGAGCCACCGCCCGGCCACCCCGGGCAGCCGUCCGGGCUCACUGUCAAAGUUCAAAAAGGAAAAUAUCUUGCUGUCAAAUUAGAAUUCUAUAAAUUUCUAGCUAAAUAUUUUUGUAUAAUAAAAACUGCUCGAGCUCCAAAAUUUUUUUGGCUCCGCUAAUGAUUACAAUACAAAUUUUAGAAGUUAUAAUGCAAUUUAUUUCAGGACACAGGGAGUACUCAUUAUUUGAUUACUCCCUAGCUUUGUCCUAAAAUGUAAGGUGUAUAAGCAAUUUUAGGAUGAAAUAAGGUCUUUGUCAAAAUGUUAACUUGCCUCCUCACUAAUUUGUUAUGGUUGUCAACUUGAUUAAUUUUUAGUGACACGUAGUUUGAAAAAACAUGCAUGGUGCAAUUAUUUAUUUUGGAAUCAUCGUCAUUUUGGGCAAGGUGGUACUUAAAACGCAUGCAUAGAUGUGGUUUAAAAGGUACGCAUGCAUGGAUGGGGUUGAGCAAUCCAAGAUACCUUAUAAUUUGGGAUGAAUUUUGAACUUUUGAUACCUUGUAUAUUAGGAUACAGGAUUAUCUGUACUAUCCUCGAUAACCCGGUAUCAGUCACAUUUCGCACAUACUCCCUCCAUACCUGGAAGGCUCUAAAAAAAAGUCGCAUAGGACAAUGACACGGUCUCUAAACCCUAAUUUUGACUCUUUAUUUUUAUAAAAAUAUUUUAAAAAAGUGGUAUAUAUAUAUUUUUAUAAAAAAAAUUUAAGAAAAAUCUAUUCACAUGGUUUUGAUAUUUCCAAACUCUACAACUCUAAUCGUCCCCGCUGCAGAGUAGAAGUUGCAUGCGUUUCUUGGGUGAGGAGAACUGUGGCAUAAGUUUGGCUAGGUCACUUGCAAUCUGUUUGGGAGAUUGGAUACAAUGUAUCUUCUCAACUUUGUGAUUAAGAACAUUGUAUGGCGACAGUUCAGAAACUAUACAUCAUUUUUGUGAUAUCUUUGCACUAUAGUAUUCCUUGCAAAUAAAUAUAUUAUAAAUAAGUUCUCAUUUGCAUAUGUCUUACAUGCUUAGUAUGAGUUUCAACAAAAACAAAGAUCCACGUUGACUAAGGCUCUGUUUGGCAUAGCUCCACUUCACUAAUGAAGUAUUUUUUUUAGCUUCAACUCCAUAAACAACUAUAUCGUGGAGCUGAAGCCGUUUUGGUAAAUCGUUUGACAAAAUAGCUCCACAUAUAAAGUUUUUUAAAAUAUGCUCACGAUACCAUGUAGAUGAGGUGAAGCUGGAGACCCGUACGUAUAUUAAAGUCGUGUGUUCAAGGAAAUUCGUCUUGCUCUACAACAUCCAAAAUUUGUCUACUGUAAUCAAAUUUAGGUCAAUAUAAGAACACACAUCAUACGCGCAAGGCCCAACCAAACACCUUCCGAAUUCCAAGCACUCCCCGUCCCCGUCGCUCCCCACCCACACCCACACCAAGAACUCCUCCCUCCCCGCGUGCGCGCGCCGCCGCCACUUCGCAACAACACACGAUGCGGCGAACCCUCCUCCUCGCAUGGCCGGUGGCGCGCCGGCGGCUGCUGAGCAACUUGCCGGAUUCCACCGUCUACUGGGGGCCGCGACCGCAUCCGCAGGAGUCGGCGGCGGCGGCGCGGCGCGUGACGCUGGCGACGCUGCGCGGGAAGCACCGGCGCGGGGAGCCCAUCAGCAUGGUGACCGCGUACGACUACUCGUCGGCGGUCCACCUGGACUCCGCGGGGGUGGACGUCGUCCUCGUGGGCGACUCCGCCGCGAUGACCGCGCACGGCCACGACAACACCCUCCCCAUCUCCCUCGACCUCAUGCUCCAGCAUUGCCGCGCC
rnacentral:lncRNA from 1 species